rnacentral:lncRNA from 1 species
UUACUUAACACAAAUUUUAAUUCAUUGUUCAAUGUGGUUUAUAGUAAACUGUAAUCCAAAGAAUGAUAUUAAGAUGGUUCUUUUCUUUUUGUGGGUUUGACGGGUUAACAUUAUAAAUAACUCUACAUCUGACUCCUACAAGUUUAUGUUAUCCAAACAAUUUCAUUCUCACUGUAAUAUUAUUAUUUAUAUUGUUUUCAAAUUGGAGAAAACCAAAAACACAAAAAAAAAAAAAAAGAGGGAAGGUGGAGUAAAUAAAUAAUAAUAAUAAUAAUAAUAAAGAAAGGCAAUUGACGUCCACAUUAAAAUUAAGAUCCGCGGGACCCAUGGAAAUCUAAACAUUGGACCCACUUAUAUUUCUUAAAGAACCAAAUUUUUUUCUUUUAUUUUUAUUUUUCUUUUAAUUUUGGACUUUUCCUCUUUUUUUAUUUUCUUGCAAAAAAACAUAAUUUGCUGUUUCACUCUUUUAGACACCACAGCGUAUCAAAUCUUCGAGAUUGCUUUUGCUUUCUCUUUCCCACCCC